ensembl:lncRNA
AACCUACAACAUGCCUAUUUAGUGAGAAAGAAAUCAGAAUAGUCAGAUGAUGGGUAUCAUCUUCUCAUUGGUCUUAUAAAAGUCAACUACUCCAAUAUUGCAUCCAUAAUGGGUAGAAAAUAAGAUUUUAUUAAGUUUCCUGGUCUCUCAACUCCAGCCGUCUAAUCGCUAGUGCAUGCCUAGUUUGAGACUGAGGUGUUUUAAUUAGUGAGUUCAGCGUGUUUGUUACAGUCCCUGAGGUGGGGCAUCAUUUCUGUUUUUGUUUUUAAACGGUAUUCCAGUAUAACUAAUACAAUCAUGUUACCUGCAACUUCAGUUUGAAACCAAAAAAGAAAAAGGCAAAGGGGCUGCAAAACAAGAUCAGUAGCCUUACAAUGAUGGUGAUUAGAAUCUCUUGAAAAUUCACAAGCCCGGAGCCCAGGCACUGCGAAGUCAGCCCUAGGCCUUGGCAGAGAACAGGACGUCCAGAAUGCUAAUAAGACCUUCUGUAGCUACGGAAGGCAGGGAGUUCUCCUGAAGAAUCUCAAUUAGGCUUCUCAACUGAGAUUUUGUGGACCAGGGGUGGCUGUAAGUGUAUUCAGCUGGAUUGAGCUUUUUUCAGAUUAGCCUUAUGUGACUGUGGCACUUAAAUGAAUUCUUUCAUUUCCUUCAUUGCUUCCCUUCUCCUGCAGGAAAAAAAAAAAACAACACCAAAAUGCAAAAAAGCACUUUCAUGAUACUCAUAAACAGAGCACAUCGAGAACAAGUGUUUUCAGAAGAACAGCCUUUGGUAAAGAUUUUAACCGGGAGCCAGAUCUUCUAGGUAGUUUUUUGUUUUGUUUUGUUUGCUUGCUUGUUUUUGCUUUUAAUAUUUUAAAAAAUUUGUUUGGCUCUGCA